AAAAAAGGAAUGUAUCAGGAUCUUCAUGAAAGAAUUCACUGUUGCAUGUGGUAGGGGGAGGAGGGUCCUGUUAGAAGAAACAAAGUCAAUUACAACACCAAGUGAAGAAGCACAGAGGUGAUGGGAGGAGUCUAGGAAGGCUUCUGGAAGUGAUGUUGGAACUGGGUUCUAAAGGCCGAAUAGGAGUUUUCCAGGUUGGCCAAAGGAGGAAGGGUCAUUUCAGCAGAGGAAACAACCUGUGGAAAGGAACAGAGGCUUGAAAGAGCAGAGAACUAUAAAGAAUUCAGGAAUGAGUGGACAUGGUUCUGUGGAAGGUGCCAGGGGGAAUGAGCUAACGUGAAGUUGAAGAGAGAAAGGAGAUGGGGAAUCAGAAUGAAGGAGAAAAAAAAAUGCCCAUCUUUUUUUUUUCCCAUGGCAGUUGAAGAUGGGUUCUCUGCCCAGGCUUCACAUGGCAACAACAGAAAUAUCUGGUUUCUGAGACUUUUCCUAGUUUCCAGAAGGAGACCCUGAGUGCAAGGAGUUCAUCUGGAAGGUGAUCCCGGGAGGCACCAGCAAAAGCAUAGGGGAAUGAGACAGAGAAGGGAAGGAAAGCAGUAGAGGCUCUUCAGCAACUGACUAGAUCUGCACCACUGUGCGGGAGAGGCCUUGAGCCUAGCUGUGGCCAAGAUGGAUGCUGACAUGGAUGGAGUCGGAGACAGACCAGGCCCAGGCCCACACCUGGGCAUUCUGGGUACCAUCUUGCUACAGUCCCCAUGAAGUAGGCUCAGGGGUAAAAGGAGAGAGGGAUGAGGAAGGACCCGCCAGGACACUCGCUUGGAGGUCAGGGGUAGUAGGAGAGUUUGCAGUGCUGAGUUUUGUCCCAGUAUCGACAAUCUCUCUUGUUUUUAUUGUGGUAAAAUAUACCUAAGUAAGAUUUAUCAUGUUAACCAUCUUUAAGUAUACCAUUCAGUAGCAUUAAGUACAUUCACACUGUUGUGCCGUCAUCACCACUAUUUCCAGAACUUCUUCAUCAUCCCCAACGUAAAGUCCACCCAUCAAACAAUAACUCCCACUCCCUGCCAGCCGAUGGUAGCCUCUCAUCGACUUCCCGUCUCUAUGAGUUUGCCUAUUCUGAGUACCUCAUAUGAGUACAAUCAUAACACUACUUGUCUUCUGUUGUCUGACGUCUUUCGUUUAGCAGAAUGUCUUCAAGGUUCAUCCCUGUUGGAGCCUGUGUCAGAGUUUCAGUCCUUUAUAAGGCUGGGUAAUAUUCCUUUGUAUGGGCAGACCACUUUUUGUUUAUCCAUUCAUCCAUCAAUGGCCAUUUGGGUCACCUCCCCUUUUUGCCUGUUGUGAAUAAAGCUGCUAUGUACGUGGGGGUGCAACUAUC